UCCUCCUCCCACAGCAUCCUUGGUAGCCUGGGGCCAACUGCUCUGCUAGGGCUGGUGGGUACAGCCCCUCCCUGAGCCUGGGGCCUGGCUUGCUCGGUGCCUGCUUCUCAGCCUGGUUACCUACAGAGCUCACUCUUUAUGGCCGAGAGACCUCUCCCAAGAUGACAGGACACUGACUCCUAGCCACUUACAAGGAUGUGUGCUGGUAAAGCCAAGCCCGUGUAUUCCACCUGCCCCAGGAGCUGGAGACAAGACCUUGUGGCUGCCUGGCAGAAACCUUGCCUUGUAACCCCUGGAGCUGGCUUCCCUGACUACUCCUUACCCAGAGCAGCCAAGUUCCACUCCCGUUCUCCCUACACACGCCCAGGAGGUUCAACCCCUCCGGUAGAUCAUCUCCUCCAGCCAGGACUUCUCAGAGCCUAACGACGCUCAUUCAGGUGCCCCCCCUCUGCUGCUCCCUUGACCUCUUGGAGAACUCUAGACGCCACGAGCUCUUGACUACAGCACCCUUAAUCUGUAUCAGUGGCAGGGCGUCUGGCCAGGCGCCCACCCUCUGCCCCUGGCCCUCCCGGCAGCCCUCAGCAUGUACCUUUGUUGCAGAGCUCACAGACAUGGUGAGGGCCCUGGCUGUGCACCUUCAUGUGGUCCGAAAUAUAAGCCGAGCUCAGCAUCUUGCCACACACGUGACAUGGCA